rnacentral:rRNA from 1 species
UAGGGAAUCUUCCGCAAUGGACGCAAGUCUGACGGAGCAACGCCGCGUGAGUGAAGAAGGAUUUCGGUUCGUAAAACUCUGUUGUUAGAGAAGAACAGCGCAUAGAGUAACUGUUAUGCGUGUGACGGUAUCUAACCAGAAAGCCACGGCUAACUACGUGCCAGCAGCCGCGGUAAUACGUAGGUGGCAAGCGUUGUCCGGAUUUAUUGGGCGUAAAGCGAGCGCAGGCGGUCAAUUAAGUCUGAUGUGAAAGCCCCCGGCUCAACCGGGGAGGGUCAUUGGAAACUGGUUGACUUGAGUGCAGAAGAGGAGAGUGGAAUUCCAUGUGUAGCGGUGAAAUGCGUAGAUAUAUGGAGGAACACCGGUGGCGAAAGCGGCUCUCUGGUCUGUAACUGACGCUGAGGUUCGAAAGCGUGGGUAGCAAACAGG